CACCGCGGUUAUACGAGAGACCCAAGUUGAAAGACAUCGGCGUAAAGCGUGGUUAAGAUAAAAUAUAAACUAAAGCCGAACACAUGCAAAGUUGUUAUACGCACUCGAAAGUAAGAAGUUCAAUCACGAAAGUAGCUUUAUACCCCUGAACCCACGAAAGCUUUGAAA
rnacentral:rRNA from 1 species